UACGAAGGGGGCAAGCGUUGUUCGGAAUCAUUGGGCGUAAAGCGCGUGUAGGCGGUCUAUUAAGUCGAGUGUGAAAUCCCUAGGCUCAACCAAGGAAGUGCAUUCGAAACUAAUAGACUAGAAGAUGGUAGAGGAUGGUGGAAUUCCAGGUGUAGAGGUGAAAUUCGUAGAUAUCUGGAGGAAUACCGGUGGCGAAGGCGGCCAUCUGGGCCAUUCUUGACGCUGAGACGCGAAAGCGUGGGUAGCAAAC
rnacentral:rRNA from 1 species